UUCAAAAGUGAAAUGCUUUUUAAAACAAGUUCUAUUUUAGAAGAGUUUCAGAUGUACAGAAUUAUUAGAAUGACAACUUGGAAGAAAAUCUGGCAUGCCUAAACUUCUGGGGGAACAGAGGAUGCAUAUGUCCUUUACCUUCCUUAGACUCCCUACAUGU